rnacentral:rRNA from 1 species
UACGUAGGGUGCGAGCGUUAAUCGGAAUUACUGGGCGUAAAGCGUGCGCAGGCGGUUUUGCAAGCCGGAUGUGAAAUCCCCGGGCUCAACCUGGGAAUGGCAUUCGGGACUGCAAGGCUGGAGUGCGGCAGAGGAGACUGGAAUUCCUGGUGUAGCAGUGAAAUGCGUAGAUAUCAGGAGGAAUACCGAUGGCGAAGGCAGGUCUCUGGGCCGGUACUGACGCUGAGGCACGAAGGCGUGGGGAGCGAACGGG